UUGCUCUCAAUACGGAGAUACAAGCCCCCAAGAUUGUAAUACAAGAUCAGAUUAAAAAAAAAUUGUAAUACAAGAUGAGGGCUACACAAGUUCUACUCCUAUUCCUUGUCCUCUUCGUCCUAUCCCCAGAUCUGGCAAAGGCUAAGCUGCACUGCACGGAUUUCAUCAUAGUCAACCAGUGCGACGUGGACGAGAUCACAUGCCAACAUUACUGCUACAGCCAGUUCAAUGGAACCGGCAAGUGCAUCCCCCACAAAGGAUGCCAGUGUCAUUUCUGCUAUGCAACUCCACCCAAGCCAUCGCCUGCUAGCAGCUCCUAGUCGUAGUUUUCUCUUUAAUUUCCUGUUUCUUCAAGGUCAAUGUACAACAGUUAUGAACAUGAUUCGUUUCUAGUGCAACAACUAUGGCAUGAUUAAUUACAUGUACUGUGGCCUAUACCGCGAAGUUAUAUGUUAAUGCAAUGCCUGUUUUGCUUUA